rnacentral:rRNA from 1 species
GUGGGGAAUCUUCCGCAAUGGACGAAAGUCUGACGGAGCAACGCCGCGUGAGUGAAGAAGGUUUUCGGAUCGUAAAGCUCUUUCGUUAGGGACGAACGUGCUCUUUGUGAAUAAUGAGGAGUAAUGACGGUACCUAAAUAAGAAGCCACGGCUAACUACGUGCCAGCAGCCGCGGUAAUACGUAGGUGGCAAGCGUUGUCCGGAAUUAUUGUGCGUAAAGCGCGCGCAGGCGGGAUAUCAAGUCUGUCUUAAAAGUGCGGGGCUCAACCUCGUGAGGGGACAGAAACUGGUAUUCUUGAGUGUCGGAGAGGAAAGUGGAAUUCCAAGUGUAGCGGUGAAAUGCGUAGAGAUUUGGAAGAACACCAGUGGCGAAGGCGACUUUCUGGACGAUGUCUGACGCUGAGGCGCGAAAGCUAGGGGAGCGAACGGGAUUAGAAACCCGUGUAGUCC